rnacentral:rRNA from 1 species
GACGAACGCUGGCGGCGUGCUUAACACAUGCAAGUCGAACGGAGCGAAUGAAAGCUUGCUUUUAUAAGCUUAGUGGCAAACGGGUGAGUAACACGUAGGCAACCUGCCGACAGGAUGGGGACAACAUUCCGAAAGGAAUGCUAAUACCGAAUGAAGCGCAGGGGAGGCAUCUCUCCUGCGUGAAAGAUGGCCUCUAUAUAUAAGCUAUCACCUGUCGAUGGGCCUGCGUCUGAUUAGCUGGUAGGUGAGGUAACGGCUCACCUAGGCGACGAUCAGUAGCCGGUCUGAGAGGAUGAACGGCCACAUUGGGACUGAGACACGGCCCAGACUCCUACGGGAGGCAGCAGUGGGGAAUCUUCCGCAAUGGGCGCAAGCCUGACGGAGCAACGCCUCGUGAGUGAAGAAGGUCUUCGGAUCGUAAAGCUCUGUUGAUGGGGACGAACGUGCCUAAUGCGAAUAGUAUUAGGUAAUG